rnacentral:rRNA from 1 species
ACGGGUGAGUAAUACAUCGGAACAUGUCCUGUAGUGGGGGAUAGCCCGGCGAAAGCCGGAUUAAUACCGCAUACGAUCUACGGAUGAAAGCGGGGGACCUUCGGGCCUCGCGCUAUAGGGUUGGCCGAUGGCUGAUUAGCUAGUUGGUGGGGUAAAGGCCUACCAAGGCGACGAUCAGUAGCUGGUCUGAGAGGACGACCAGCCACACUGGGACUGAGACACGGCCCAGGCUCCUACGGGAGGCAGCAGUGGGGAAUUUUGGACAAUGGGCGAAAGCCUGAUCCAGCAAUGCCGCGUGUGUGAAGAAGGCCUUCGGGUUGUAAAGCACUUUUGUCCGGAAAGAAAUCCUUGGCUCUAAUACAGCCGGGGGAUGACGGUACCGGAAGAAUAAGCACCGGCUAACUACGUGCCAGCAGCCGCGGUAAUACGUAGGGUGCAAGCGUUAAUCGGAAUUACUGGGCGUAAAGCGUGCGCAGGCGGUUUGCUAAGACCGAUGUGAAAUCCCCGGGCUCAACCUGGGAACUGCAUUGGUGACUGGCAGGCUAGAGUAUGGCAGAGGGGGGUAGAAUUUCACGU